rnacentral:rRNA from 1 species
UACGUAGGGUGCAAGCGUUGUCCGGAAUUAUUGGGCGUAAAGAGCUCGUAGGCGGUCUGUCGCGUCGGCUGUGAAAGCCCUGGGCUCAACCUGGGAAUUGCAUUGGAUACUGGCAGGCUAGAGUGCGGUAGAGGAUGGCGGAAUUCCCGGUGUAGCAGUGAAAUGCGUAGAGAUCGGGAGGAACAUCUGUGGCGAAGGCGGCCAUCUGGACCAGCACUGACACUGAGGCACGAAAGCGUGGGGAGCAAACAGG